UACAGAGGUCCCGAGCGUUAGGCGGAAUCACUGGGCUUAAAGCGUGUGUAGGCGGGUCCGUAAGUGCCUUGUGAAAUCCCACCGCUCAACGGUGGAACUGCUGGGCAUACUGCGGGUCUUGAGCCAGCUAGGGGCGACCGGAACAGACGGUGGAGCGAUGAAAUGCGUAGAUAUCGUCUGGAACGCCGAAGGUGAAAACAGGUCGCUGGGGCUGCGCUGACGCUGAGACACGAAAGCCAGGGGAGCAAACGGG
rnacentral:rRNA from 1 species